CAUUUGCAUCCGUGCAUAUGAAUGGCAACACUGUAUGCACAUGAGCAUAAAUAGGAGUGUGAGUACCUGGUAAGCGGAGGUAGAUCCGGGGCUGCCGAUGGUGCUGCUGCCGCUGGUGAAGGACUCGGGCUGGGCCGGAGAGGUGCUGCUGCCGCGGGACGAGGUGUCGUAAUUCCCGCAGUAGUCCUGGUACAUGAUCCAGGAAAGGAGGAAAUAUCGCUAGGACUUUAGAACUUUCCUUCAGAAGGUUUUAUCUUUGUCCAUGUGAUGUCAGAUGAAAGAAAAAUUGAGCUGUUUGGCCACAAUACCCAGCAAUAUGUUUGGAGGAGAAAAGGAGAGGCCUUUAAUCCCAGGACCACCAGACCUACCGUCAAGCAUGGUGGUGGUAGCAUUAUGCUCUGGGCCUGUUUUGCUGCCAAUGGAACAAGGGCUUUACAGAGAGAACUGUGACAAUGAAAUUGUCAGUGUCUGUGUGUUCAUUCUUGCACCUGUGUCUUUUCCAACCUUGUAAAAAUGCCGAAAAUGGGAAUUUCUCUUAAAGGCAAAUAAAGUAUCUAUAUUCCUUCAA